AGAAGCACUUGACAGCAUUUUAACUUACUUUUCUUGCUUUUUGGACAUCUUAAGAGUGAUCUAAAGCCCAGCCAUGCAUUGAGACAUCAAAUACAAUGCCAAUAAAGUCCUUUUUGUGAACUGUAAUAACAUCAUCUGGGUCAUUUACAUCCAGACAUCGCUUCUGCUUGAGUUUACAGGUCACAGGUGACACUUGGUGUUCUUUGAUUGGCUGUGAAUGACGCAAUAACUUCUAUUUCGGUAUUCUCCUCCCACACAUUUUUAUCAUCAGUCCUCUCACCUGUA